CCCUAUAUCCACUACCAACAUAAACACAUCCAUCCCUCACAGGCACGCCCCCAUAUAUUGAAGCUCCAGUUUCAUGUGACCAAAGGAUUCUACCAGUUCUUGCAUUUAUUGCAUACAAUGGUCCACGACCUGAUCUCGAACCACCAAACAAGACACCGUUAGCUAUGGUUACUGGGCCACUAGCUGUUCCAUUGCUUGGAUCACCUGUUGACCAUAGGAUUUUACCAUUGUUAAGCCAUCUCCCACGCUGCGCCAAUUUCCAUUUUGGCAUUGGAGAUAACCCUCCAACGCUGCGCCAAAAUCCAACGGGAUUUUGGCAUUCGCUACAGUGUUACGCCAAAUAUGGCAUGACAAUGUAGCAGCGCUAUUUUCUUUUUUUUUUUUUUUUUAAUUUAUAAUAUAAUUUAAAAUUUAUAUCUUUUUCUAUUUUUUUAAAUUAUAAUAUAAUUCAAAAUUUAUAUAUAUUUUCAAUUAAGUUUAAUUUUUUUUACUCUUAUAAUUUAUUUAAUAUUUUUAUAAUUAUUGAAAUUUAAUUUAAAUUAAUAUAUUCACAAUUAUAAAUAAUGUAUGUUUAUAAUUAAUGUUUAAGUAAUAUUUUUUUUAUAAUUAUUAUUUAAUUAAUAUAUUUUUAUAAUUAAUAUGUUUUUUUUGUUUAUUUAUAAAAUAAUUAAAUAUUUGAAUAUUGGAUGAAAAUAUAAAAUAUAUAAAUAUUUAAAGUGAAUAUAUAAAAUUAUAUGAAUUUUUUGAGUGAAAUAUAUAAAUAAAAUUAAAGUAAAAUAAAUAAUAUAAUAUUAAAGAGAGAGAAGAAUAUAAAUAGAAUAUUUUUUUUGGUGUUAAAAUUGGUGCAGAAGGUUGGAGAUAAUAUUGCACCAUUUUAGUGCAGAGCACUAAAAUAGUGCAAAAAAUGGUGCAUAGGGUUGGAAAUGGCCUUAGCCUUCAUUGCCACCCAUCCUCUAGCUCUUGUCUUUGCUUUUGAUGGCUUCAAAAUGAAGAUUUUUCUUUCAGAGUUUGCUAUGUUG
rnacentral:lncRNA from 1 species